GCCGCUUUAGCUCAGCUGGUAGAGCACGUCAUUCGUAAUGACGGGGUCAGGUGUUCAAGUCACCUAAGCGGCACCA
rnacentral:tRNA from 1 species